rnacentral:rRNA from 1 species
UACGGGGGGAGCAAGCGUUGUUCGGAUUUACUGGGCGUAAAGGGCGCGUAGGCGGCCACCGCAAGUCGGUUGUGAAAUCUCCGGGCUUAACCCAGAAAGGUCAACCGAUACUGCGGGGCUAGAGUGCAGAAGGGGCAACUGGAAUUCUCGGUGUAGCGGUGAAAUGCGUAGAUAUCGAGAGGAACACCUGCGGCGAAGGCGAGUUGCUGGGCUGACACUGACGCUGAAGCGCGAAAGCUAGGGGAGCGAACGGG